UACGUAGGUGGCAAGCGUUGUCCGGAUUUACUGGGCGUAAAGAGCGCGCAGGCGGUCGCUCAAGUCGCGUGUGAAAGCCCCCGGCUCAACUGGGGAGGGUCACGCGAUACUGAUCGACUCGAAGGCAGGAGAGGGUAGUGGAAUUCCCGGUGUAGUGGUGAAAUGCGUAGAUAUCGGGAGGAACACCAGUAGCGAAGGCGGCUCGCUGGGCCACACCUGACGCUGAGACGCGAAAGCUAGGGGAGCGAACAGG
rnacentral:rRNA from 1 species